UACAGAGAGGCACUCGGCAAGGUAACACACAGUACCUCACACAGCAGUACAGAGAGGUAACACACAGGACCUCACACAGCAGUACAGAGAGGUAACACACAGGACCUCACACAGCAGUACAGGGAGGUAACACACAGGACCUCACACAGCAGUACAGAGAGGUAACACAGGACCUCACACAGCAGUACAGAGAGGUAACACACAGUACCUCACACAGCAGUACAGAGAGGUAACACACAGGACCUCACACAGCAGUACAGAGAGGUAACACACAGGACCUCACACAGCAGUACAGAGAGGUAACACAGGACCUCACACAGCAGUACAGAGAGGUAACACACAGUACCUCACACAGCAGUACAGAGAGGUAACACACAGGACCUCACACAGCAGUACAGAGAGGUAACACACAGGACCUCACACAGCAGUACAGAGAGGUAACACACAGGACCUCACACAGCA